CAUGAUAAAAGUUCUUAUUACUAUUUUGAGUAGUCCCGUGUUAAAUGUCCAUUUUUUUAAUAACUAAACUUUUACACAUAUUUUCCUAUUAUACCUGUAGCAUUAAAUAUCUCAUACUUUUCUUAUUCUAAUUCUAUCUCCAUAUUUAAUGACAUUAUUAUGGGCAAUUUUGUCAUUUCAUUCAUCUUCUUAAUAUGCGUGAAAAGUCCACUAGGACUUUUAUCUUGAGACGGAGAGAGUAAUAAAUAAGGUAAAUUUCACUUUAGUACUUGAGGUUUACACAUUUUUCAACAUGACCACCUGAGUUUUAAAAGUCGACACUUAAACACCUAUAAUAUUAAAACUAAGUGAAACUAUUACAUUUUUCAUCCAAAUUAAC
rnacentral:lncRNA from 1 species